rnacentral:rRNA from 1 species
AACUACUGCCAUGCCACCCUGAAGGUCCCCGAUUUCCUCUGAUCUCGGAAGCUAAGUAGGGUCGGGCCUGGUUAGUACUUGGAUGGGAGACCACCUAGGAAGACCAGGUGUUGUGGGCA